UACGUAGGGUGCAAGCGUUAAUCGGAAUUACUGGGCGUAAAGCGUGCGCAGGCGGUUUUGCAAGACAGAUGUGAAAUCCCCGGGCUCAACCUGGGAACUGCAUUUGUGACUGCAAGGCUAGAAUCUGGCAGAGGGGGGGUAGAAUUCCACGUGUAGCAGUGAAAUGCGUAGAUAUGUGGAGGAAUACCGAUGGCGAAGGCAGCCCCCCUGGGCUAAGAUUGACGCUCAU
rnacentral:rRNA from 1 species